UCCCUGGUGUCUCAGUCAGUAAAGAAUCUGCCUGCAAUGCAGGAGACCGGGGUUCAAUCCCUGGGUUGGGAA
rnacentral:tRNA from 1 species